GACGAACGCUGGCGGCGUGCUUAACACAUGCAAGUCGAACGGAAAGGCCCUGCUUUUGUGGUGUGCUCGAGUGGCGAACGCGUGCGUAACACGUGAGUAACCUGCCCUUGACUUUGGGAUAACUUCAGGAAACUGGGGCUAAUACCGUAUAGGAUCUCCUGCUGCAUGGUGGGGGUUGGAACGUCUCGGCGGUUGGGGAUGGACUCGCGGCUUAUCAGCUUGUUGGUGGGGUAGUGGCUUACCAAGGCUUUGACGGGUAGCCGGCCUGAGAGGGUGACCGGCCACAUUGGGACUGAGAUACGGCCCAGACUCCUACGGGAGGCAGUAGGGGGGAAUAUUGCACAAUGGGCGGAAGCCGGAUGCAGCAACGCCGCGUGCGGGAUGACGGCCUGCGGGUUGUAAACAGCUGUCGCCUGUGACGAAGCGUGAGUGACGGUAAUGGGUAAAGAAGCACCGGCUAACUACGUG
rnacentral:rRNA from 1 species